UUACGGGAGGCAGCAGUGGGGAAUCUUCCGCAAUGGGCGAAAGCCUGACGGAGCAACGCCGCGUGAAUGAUGAAGGCCUUCGGGUUGUAAAAUUCUGUCUUCAGGGAAGAAAAAAAUGACGGUACCUGAGGAGGAAGCCCCGGCUAACUACGUGCCAGCAGCCGCGGUAAUACGUAGGGGGCGAGCGUUGUCCGGAAUUACUGGGCGUAAAGGGCGCGUAGGCGGUUUCUUAAGUCAGAGGUGAAAACUAUGGGCUCAACCCAUAGCCUGCCUUUGAAACUGGGAGACUUGAGGACAGGAGAGGGGAGUGGAAUUCCCAGUGUAGCGGUGAAAUGCGUAGAUAUUGGGAGGAACACCAGUGGCGAAGGCGGCUCUCUGGCCUGUAACUGACGCUGAGGCGCGAAAGCGUGGGGAGCGAACGGGAUUAGAUACCCUGGUAGUCC
rnacentral:rRNA from 1 species